UUGACGGUACCCUACUAGAAUGGAGCCGCUAACUUCGUGCCAGAAGCGUCGGUAAUACGGGGGCUCCAAGCGUUAUCCGGUGUUAUUGGGCGUGCCGAGUCGUGUAGGUGGUUGGGUAAGUUAUCUUGCAAAUAUCUUUGCUUAACUAAGAGGAGGGGGAUAAUACUGCUCGACUAGAAUUUUCUCAAGGGAGAUCGGAACUGAGGGAGGAGUAGUGAAAUGCGUUGAUACCCUCGGGAACACCAGUGGCGUAUGCGGAUCUCUGGGAGAAGAUUGACACUGAGACACGAAAGCUAGGGGAGCGAAGCAGAUUAGAGACCUGCGUAGUCAUAGCCGUAAACGCAUGCUUGCUAGCUGCAUGAAUGUACCUUCGGGUGGUAUCCUCUGGCGAAGGUAACCCGUUAAGCAAGCCGCCUGGGAAGUACGGCCGCAAGGCUGCAAUUCAAAGGAAUUGGGCGGGGAGGCACACAACACAGUGGAACACGUGGCUUAAUUCGAGACUAACCGAAGAACCUCACCAGGCUUUGACACGUAGCUGCACGUCUUAAGAAAUUAAGACUCUCUUGAAGGUGCUACACAGGUGCUGCAUGGCUGUCGUCAGCUCGUUCCGUGAGGAGUGCCCUUAAGUGGGACAACGAGCGCAACCCGUAUUACAUGUUAGAAAUGUCAUGUAAGACUGCCUUGCCAUUUGACGGGGAGGAAGGAGGGGCAGACGUCAAGUCAGCAUGGUCCUUAUGCCCUGGGCUACACACAUGUUACAAUG
rnacentral:rRNA from 1 species